rnacentral:rRNA from 1 species
AGUGAACGCUGGCGGUAGGCCUAACACAUGCAAGUCGAACGGCAGCACAGUAAGAGCUUGCUCUUACGGGUGGCGAGUGGCGGGCGGGUGAGGAAUACAUCGGAAUCUACUUUUUCGUGGGGGAUAACGUAGGGAAACUUACGCUAAUACCGCAUACGACCUACGGGUGAAAUCAGGGGAUCUUCGGACCUUGCGCGAUUGAAUGAGCCGAUGUUGGAUUAGCUAGUUGGCGGGGUAAAGGCCCACCAAGGCGACGAUCCGUAGCUGGUCUGAGAGGAUGAUCAGCCACACUGGAACUGGGACACGGUCCAGACUCCUACGGGAGGCAGCAGUGGGGAAUAUUGGACGAAGGGCGCAAGCCUGAUCCAGCCAUACCGCGUGGGUGAAGAAGGCCUUCGGGUUGUAAAGCCCUUUUGUUGGGAAAGAAAAGCAGCAGGUUAAUACCCCGCUGUUCUGACGGUACCCAAAGAAUAAGCACCGGCUAACUUCGUG